rnacentral:misc_RNA from 1 species
CCGCACAGCAGGAAAAGAACACACCGAAGUGGACGUGUGGGGGACGCAUCUGCACACUGUGGAGGCAGCGGAUCGAACCCUCUUCCCCUUCCCACCCUUGCUGAGCAUCCCCGCGUUUGUGCCGGCUGGAGUGACACAGACGCAGACAGCCCGCGUUGGAAUGUGUGGGUGCUUUUCUUUCGCGUAAACGGAAACAAAGGUCUGAGGCCCGGCAGCACGCGUCCGAGGUGCCGUUUCUCGCUACAUCUGCUGCCUCGCUCUCCUCGUACUGGCGCUUUCUCCACACGCAUUCGCACACACUCAUACACGCAUACAUCACAGGCGCACACACAUUCAGAGACAGGAAGAGGGAGAGAGCCGUUGUCACGGCACUUGUGCUGGCCACGGUCUUCGAAUUGAGGAGCAAAACACCCCCAUAAAAGGAAAGCGCAAAGUGGGGCACUCUUUCAUCAUCUCUGCAGUCGUCCCACGGGAAGCCGGCAGUGCAAUCUUUCUUUUCAAUUUACAGAGACAGCGCAAUGCUGCGCCGAAACGCCAGCCUAGUUGGUCAGCCGCCGAAGCUCGUCACGGCGGCGCUCAGCUGUGGCGCGCUCGUCCACCCGGUGUGCUACAAUGCUACCUCCUCGGUACCUCCAAGGUACGUGACUGCUGUCGGCGCGGCGGCGCCUGCACCUGCGCAGCCGGCGAGUGGCUCGCCUGCCGUGUCGGCGCCGCAGCCACUGGCGAUGAGGUCGUUCCCAGCGCGGCAGAACCCAUUUGCGCCCACCCUGGUGGCGGAUGACCCAAAGGUGCUGCUGGCCAAGGCGCAGUACUGCAUCUUCACCCUCGCCUACGACCCCGCGCAGAAGCUUUAUGCCGUCUACUCCGCCACGACAAACGAGGUGGCCGUCAUGCAAGAGGAACUCCUAUGGAAGGCCGCCAUGUGGGUCGACGAGCGCAUCGGUGACGACUACAUUGCUGGGCUCUUGUUUGGCAACGACGCCUCCACCGACGUGAAAUCCGCCGCGACGCUGCUGAGCAACAAGACGAUGAAGAGGCUGGUGCUAGCGCCGGACACAUGGGGCAUCACGUUCCUCGCCUUCAAAGCACAGCAGGAGGUCGUGAAGGGCGUGGACAUGCCUCUCGGUCUCGAGCACGCUGCAUUUCUGCUGACACAGCGGCAGUUCAACGCCACCACCGUCGAUCCGCAGGUCUACGAUGUGGGGGCCGGCGCGUACAUGCCAAGCGACGUGCUGAAGUCGAACGGAGCAGCGCGCAGUGCCGUCAUGGGCUGGGAUGUGCUUCUCCACGUGCAUCGCCGCUUUGGCACCCCUGGCAGUCGCAAGGCGCUGAAUCCGGUGGAGCAGAUUGUGCGGCGGGUCGUCAAGGCUGUGAACGUCUUCGUGGUGGACAUCAAUGUGCGGGUCGGCAAGGGCACCAUCACGGAGGGGUACACGAUGAUUGUCACCAUAUUCGACUCACAACGGCGCUCUCAGUCGGUGCACAUGAUCCGCAGCUUAGCAGAGGAAACGGCGAAGCUGAACGCACUCACCACGCUCCUGUACGGCGAGGGCAGCUCAUCCAUUUCGCUGUUUGUGCCGACGGCCCGCACCAAGUCGUCGCAGCUUGUGGCGUUCGCGAGGACAUGCCGCCCGAAGAGCCCGUUCUUCGUGGCGGAGGUUUCGAGCCUGGCGCCAUACUUUGGCGGGCACAACGUUGCGAAGGGGGUCAGUGAAGAGGAGGACCCGCGGGCGACGUGGAACCUCAUCCGGCAAAACUGCUUCCCAGAGAAUCACCUGCGUAAGGACGAGGAGAAGAUGGAUCGCUACCUUCACCGCGGCUUCACCGCGCUGGCUAACAAGCUCUUCUCGGAGCGACUGCACAAAGUCUCGCCAGCCAUCAUGAGCGCUGUGAACAGCAUCCCUGCUCAGGAAGAAUCUGCGACCGCCUUCAAGCGCCUGGAGGAGAUGGCGGCGGAGGCGAAGAAGAACCCGGUGCCACAAAUCACAACGGCCAGCUUCCUCAACAAGGUCAACAUCAACGACGCGGAGGUCGUAUUUGGGCUACAGCAGUGGCGUCGAAAAAUCUACGAAGAUCAAGGCCGUCUGGAGCGGGAGAAGAAAGCGCUGGAUGGUCUGCGCCGGUACCUCAUCGUGGAUUUGGAGACGACCACGAUACGGCGCUACAAGCGCGUCGCGAACCCGUUCACCAAGGAGAACUACGUCGUCUUGUCCGGCGCUCGCGACUACAAGGGGAACGUCUUCAUGCCCAGGCGCUACUUUGAUCGCAGCGUUGCCAUGCGCUACGACGACCCGUCCGUGACAAGUCAAAACCACCUCGUCGAGAAGUCCUCCAAGGACUCGCUCUUUCUGCCGCCGCUGGACGAGUACGACGUCAUUGUAGGCCACAACAUCAAGUUCGAUAUGUUGCACAUUUGGCGUGACGUCGAGUUUCGCAAGUUCCUGCGCCGCGGCGGCAAGAUAUGGGAUACCAUGUAUGGCGAGUACCUCUUGACCGGACACGAGGUGAAGCUCGGGCACGGGGCAGGCCUGGAGGAUGUGGCGAAGAGCUACGGCGGCCAAACGAUGAAGCUGGAUGCCGUGAAGCGGGCGUGGGCGGAGGGAAAAGAGACGUACGAGAUUCCAUACAGCAUCCUCACCGAGUACCUCCACGGCGACCUCGAGAACACCGAGCUCAUCUUCUGCAAGCACAUGGAGCGAGCCCUCGAGCAGCGGCAGGUCAUCAUCUGCUGUGCGCGGAUGGAAGGGCUGCUGUGUACGACGGAGAUGGAGUACAACGGGCUCAAGACGAACGUCGACUUGGCGCAGCGACAGAGCAACGAACUGAUGACAAAGGUGUCGGAGCUGCGCCGACAGCUAGAGGAGUCUAUCCCGCACGAGAUCCCGCACGACUGCCGCAAGUUCUUUAACUGGUCCUCCAAUCAGCACCUCAUCACGUUCUUCUUUGGCGGCAAGCUCACGCUGAGCACGAACGCGCGGGAGAGCAAGCCGCUCACGGGCGAACUAUUCGCGCGCCACACCUUGUUCCUCCGCCCCGAGUACUUCCCGCCGUCGGCGUACCCAAAUGGCGUCUUUCUGCGGCCGCCGGUGCACGUCCUCGGCAUUGGCGACUGCGCGAUCAUGGCGGGUAUGCCAUCUGAGAAGGGCACACGCCUCUUCCGCGGUUACCUGGAGGCGUACAUGCGGCAGGCAGGCUUCCGCAAGAGUUCAUCAAUUUUGGAGAGUUUGCGGCGAGAUGCGACGACGGUGUCGCGGCUGAAUGCCGACAAGCGCGGCGAGACGUCGGCCCUGGCUAACUUGCUGCCGCGGCGCCAUCUCUUCCUCUUCGCUGCGCUGACACCGAGCGGCACCGAGGGCAUCGCCAAGCUUUUCGUCAAAAACCCGAUCAGCGGCGAAUCUGUGACCAUCACGGAGGGCGAAAAGGCGGAGCAGCUGGAGCGGUUUGUAAUGGCGCAGGUGGCAAAGCACACGGAGAUGAUCAUGCCCACCGAUGACGACGCGUCGGUGAAGGACGCGGCAUUCGCGGACGCGCAUGUAACUAUUCUAGCGCGCGACGCCGGCUUCUCUUUUAUGCACUACAUCCGCAGCGAUGCGGGGCUGACUCGGUACAUGGAGGCGCACGUGGGCUACCUUGACGCGGCGGACCCAAAGCUGCGCUACAACAUCUCUCUUGCCGACACGGUCGCCAUCUUAGCCUACUACAAGCACCAGUACGCGAGCGACCUGCACGCGACGCUAGGCGGCUCGAGGCGGAGAGGCAGCAGCAGCAGCGGCGGCGGCGUCGCCGCCGACUCGCUUGGGCCGGUCAUCCCGCCAAAGGCGCUGCCGAAGGUGGGGAAGCGCAACAAGAUGGGUAUCGCUGAGGCCUUCAAGAAGGCGCUGCUGCAGGAAUCCCUGAUGAAGCCGGAGGAAUGGUGCAACUACUACAUCGAAAUCUUUCUCCACAUCGCCAACGCGGCCCUGCAGCAUGAGGCGCUCUCGACUGAGUCGCCCAAACCGCGCAAGGGAAAGAAAGACGCAGCGCGCACCGACGACGAGCUGCCGGUGCUGCUUCGGCAGCGACGCGCCUUUGUCGGCUACUACAACUCGCUGCCCGAUGCCGAGCGAAAGCGGCUGGCGCUCAUGUGUCUGGUGGGCAAGACGACUUCCUCGGUGUACGACUGCUUCGCCAUUCCGUGCGCCCACGAUGACAUCGUCAAGGUGAACAUCAAGGGCCGGCUGGCGCAGUACAUCCCAAAUGAACUGGAGGCGGAGCAGGUGAUGCGCCGCUUCCGCAGCUCGACGACGCGCCAGUUGCAGGUCGGCGAAGACACCCUUAGUUACUUCAAGUCGAAUCACAAUGACAGCACCGCCAGUGUUAUUCUUGAGCUGCGCGCGCUCGAGAAGCUGAUUGGUACCUACUACGAGAGCACCGACGGCGGCACUGGAAUGGUGUCGCUUGUGCACUCGACGGACAGCUGCAUCCACCACGAGCUGAUCCACAACAAGACGAACACCGGACGCCUGGCGAGUGCGAACCCGAACUGCCAGAACAUUCCAAAGGAGGACAAGUCGAGCUUGCGCGAUAUGUUCAUCAGCCGCUUCGGUGACAAGGGCAUGUGCAUCGAGGCGGACUAUUCACAGCUGGAGGUCGUUGCGCUCGCUGUGCUCGCAUCCGACGAGCAGAUGCUUGAAGACUUGCGGAACAACGUGGACUUCCACUGCAAGCGUGUGACGAUGAUGCGGCCAGAUCUCAAGUACACAGAUGUGCUGCAGCGUUCCAAAAAGAUCAAGGAGCCGGAGUUUGUGAAGCUGCGGCAGCAGGCGAAGAUAUUCUCCUUCCAGCGGCAGUACGGUGCCGGCGUGCGAAUGCUGAGUCAAAGCACCGGGCUCACCCAGGACCAGGUCCGCAUGCUUAUCGAGAAGGAGAACGAGACGUACCGCGGCGUUGAGGUGUUCAACAAGAUGGUAACCUUAUCGGCGAACAGCUACGAUGCGUCGCUGCAGAAUGGCGUGCGCAACGUUCGCGGCCACCAGUUCUUCAAGGGCAUGUUCCCAGUGUUGACGGGGAGCCGUUACGUUUUCACGGAGUCGGACGUCCCCGAGGGAAUGCUGCGCGAGCGGGACGUGGUGCGCAAGUCGACGAACUUCUCCCCCACCCACCUCAAGAACUACCCCGUGCAGGGCUUCGCUGGCGAGAUCGUCCAGGUGAUGCUCGGGGUGCUGUGGCGGCACUUCCUCGCCAACAAUAAUUACAACGGCCUUGCGGUGCUCACGAACACGGUGCACGACUGCGUGUGGGUGGACUGCCAUGUCUCCGUGUACCGGCAGGUGGCAAAGGAUGUGGAGCUCAUCAUGGACGGAGCGCGGACCGUGCUCAACGCCUUGUACCCCGAGAUGCAGGUGACCGUGGAUUUCCCGUGCGAUGUGGUGGCUGGAGAGAGCAUGGGGGCGCUGCGGCCCAUCAUGGAGGAAACAACGCUCUAGACACUCCUCCCCAUUCUCUUUUGCGUGGGCACCGCUACCUUGUGUUUUCCGUGCGCACGAUGCUCCCCCCUCUCUCUUCAUCAUUCGAGGAUGCCCGCCGCUUAUAGGUGGCGUUGGGGGUGGGGCUCCGUGCUGGCUGUGGCGCCAGGAAAGGCGAAUGGAGAGGGUGGCAGCUGCGUCGUGGGUACCAAUUCGGUAGUGGAGCCUCUCUACUGCACGUUGGUAUAUCCACACAAAACGCCCUCGCGAGUAGAGUCCGCGCUCCUGUGUUUAGACAGACCGUCGUGUAUCGGGUAGGGCGUUUGAGCGCGGCAUACUUCCCUGUCUGUCUGCCUGUGUGGGCGUGCGCGCAUGAAGAGAUGGACAUGCCGAAGGUGCGCUUGACGAGUAACAGAGAAGACAACGAAAUAAGGAUAGGUCAUAGAUUGAAUGUGCCGUCGCAGACACACCUUCUCUGCGCGUGUGUGCGCAGGCGAACACUUUGCUGAGUGAUAUGCACACACACACACACGUUCAUCCCAUAGACAGAAACGGGUGGGCGAGAAGCGGGUGUUUGCGCAUUUUCCGCCGCUUCUCCUUUCCUUCUUAUCCUUGAUGCUUUGCCGGUCCCUGCAUCCCCAUCUUCUGCAGAGGAGGGUGAGCGAAGUACGCCUCCUCAUUCUUCAUGCUGCGCUUCAACAAUUGAAAAGAAGAGAGGUUGUUGCCAAGAAGCGUGAGAGUUGGGGUGUUCUGCAGAGGAGAGACAUAUCGCCUUCUGGUGAGCAUCUCAUUUUUUUCUCUCUUGCUAUAUCCGUUGUUCGUAAAGACGCGGGUGUGCGUGUGUGUCUCGUCGGAGACGCUUCUGCGUCUUCAUGAAUGAGAG